rnacentral:tRNA from 1 species
AGAAAAGUAAGCUAAUUUUAAGCUAAUGGGUUCAUAUCCCAUUUAUAGAGUUUAAUCUCUCUUUUCUA